rnacentral:lncRNA from 1 species
CUCCACUCUAUCUCUCUCAAUCUAGUAGAAACUAGAAGAUCUAUUUCUACCUUACAUUGGUUGCUAAGCCUAAAAAGAAAUAUUAUUUAGAGAAGAGGUUUUCCUUCGAGGGCACCCCUCAAUCUCUAUGAUAAUUUCUUGUCUUCUCCAGGGGCCAGGGGGGUCUCCUUAUAUAGUCCUCCUCCUCUAUGCGUUUUUGGUUCAGCAGGCGAUGUGGUACUAAACUUUCCACCAUAUCUCAUUAAAAUGCACAUAGGCCUUAAUGGACCAAAAUCUGAUUUGGGCCCAAUUAAUCCCGUAGCUCUUUUAUAUGGAGUCCUUCUUUUAUUAAUAUCUCUUGAUUCCGAACUCCAAAUAUAGCAAAUAAUAUAUGCAUUUCGAUCAGCUCGACGAGAUCUUUGCAAUGGUGUACUCUAUUCUAUGAUUGGUGGAAACACCUGGGCGGGCGCCCAAGGGGAGAGGGCGGGCGCCCUGCCCCCGGGCCCGUUCGGCCUCCCGUUCGUUCUCGUGGCUCCUGGAGUCUUCUAGAUGAUUGAAAAUUGCGCGACAUGUUAAUAUCUCUAUGUAAUCCCGACGUGUGGGCCUUUCUUCCAUAUUUUCCUGAUAACCCCCUGCAGAAAUAGACAAACACCAAAACUCGUUGAAUUCUGUCAUAUAAAACCCUAAGUCUAGGUGUUGGUUGUAUUUGGAUCCUUUUCUUUAUUUAUUUGAUGAUUAUAUUUGAUACUUAAGGACCGUCAACAAACUCCCCCAAGCUUACCUCUUGCUCGUCCCUGAGCAAGGAUGAACUCAAGAGUUUCUGCAGUGGUUUUAUUUCUUAAAAGUACACACACAUUCAAGCAAAAUCUCAUCUCUGAGUUAGAAUAAACUGUUAAGACUUAAAACUUACUCAUUUUACCUUUCACCAUGGGGCUUGUAACCGUCACUUGUGUCUUGAGCAGUUAAAAGAUAGAACGGUCAAGUCAAGCACCAUGUAUCUUGUUCUUGAUCAGCUAUAGCUCUGGAGUUUUUGCAGGUUUUCAAAUAAAACUCAAAGAUUCCUUGUAUGACUCUCUCAGAUCUCACUUUUGUGGUAUUUCUGGAUCCUUACCAAGGCAGUAAUGGUAUAUGCCUUCUCUCAAAGUAUGUGGUAUUUUUGGUAUGAGGCAUAGUGAUAUUGCCUUCUCUCUCACCCUACUCUAAUAAGGUUCUGAUAUCUGGAGCUCAUAGGUGGGAGAUAGCUAAUACAUACUUACAAGACAUUUAUUGCAUAGUCAAACCAUGGAUCCAGAGAAACAAGUCCGUAAGCCAAACCAAGAUGUGCAUGUGUGGCGAAUGAAUGUUGUAUGGUAAUGAUGGUGAUAAUGGUGGUGAAAGUCUAAUUCUACUUUUGCUCUUUUGAGGGGAAACAUACAUUUCUUGCACUCUGAAGCUUUUUGGGAAGAAUGAGAUGCUCUAUAUUUUAUUUCCUCUCAGGCGGGUAUCUUGUACCCCUAAUUCUACUGUCGGACACUUGUCCAUUUUUACCUCUCGUCUCACCUUUUUUUCUUUUCUUCCGAGGUUCCGGGCACUUGCCCCUUUUUAUUUCCUCGUAUAUUUUUUUUUCUUUCUUUUUUUAGAGCACUUAUCUCCUUAAAUAAUAUAGCAAGUGGUAGUAACCAAAAUAACUCGAGCAUGUAUUUCACAGGGAAUAACAGGGAUAGGAAAAUGUUUUUUGGCUAUUCUCUCCCGGAUUAGGAGUAGAAUAAUUUUGGGUGAAUGUGGACAUGGAAAUGAGUGGAUAUAUGUGGAUGGUACUUCCGGAGUAGAAGUAGCAUGUAUGAGUGAACGUGCAAGUGAAUCUUGAUUUUAACCACAUGACAAGCUCCUAAGGGUCUACACAGCUUGACCACACUCAAUGCUCAUAAGCAGUAAAAAGUAAAUAUGUGGCUCAAAGUCUAGCAAGCAUGUAUAUAUGGCUGUGGUAGGAUUUUAAACUCUCAUCAUACAGGAACUCAUCAUGUGUUAUUUUAAAGAUUUUUUUCAAAGAUAAAAUUCUCCAGAAUUCUAGCAUCUCUAGGAACAGAUAAACAGCAGCUCAACCUUGCUAUAUCAUAUCCGUUAACGACUUAGACUUUAGAUCAAGUACUCUUCCCACAAGUUUAGGUUUAUAGCAAGCUUUAAAUUAUAACAGUCAUGCCUAAACUUGAGAGAGAUUUCAAUUUUAAGAACUAGUCAUGGCAGAGCAAUUAUUCAUCAUUUCCAUGAUAGAGCUUAUCAUGAGGGUUGAUAGCAAAUUUUAUUUAUUUAUUUAUUUAGCAAACUAAGCAAAGAUAUAUAUAUAAAAGCACAAAAUCUUUAUUAGGUUUUUUCAUAGUUUAUGUAUUUUAAUAUUCUAACAUAAUAUAAGUAUAAAGAUAGGUAGAAAUACUUAGCGAGAUAAAUGGGGGUGCUCUCCCCCAAGCUGAAUUUUGACGUAAUUUCUUCUGAUGUAGCUAGCAGGUGAUGGAGGUGUAUUUGAAAGUCGGUAGCACCCUGACAACGAUUAGGAUGUCCUCCGUCUACUAGUCUUUUCUGAUCCUUGAAUUCUGUGGAGCUCAAAUAGACAACAAAGCUUUGUGGAACUGGUCAAGUGUUAGCAUAGAUAUCUAGCCUUUAUCAUGUUGAGCCUCCUCAAUAAAUGUUACUCUCUUUAGUAGGAUCAUAAAUUUAUUUUUAUAUUUUUAUAUUUUUAUAUUUAUAGGACACGAAUAUAUUUAUCUUGCCACCACAGUGAAUGUACUUAUGGGUUUUAUGCCACUCGUAUACUCACAUGGGGCUUACUGUUUUUUUAACAUUUUUAUUUUCUUUUUAAGAUAGCAUGAAUCUGAUUAACUAAGCAAACUAUUUUAAAUAAUUAAAAGGAAAAGGAUAACUACCAAGUUUACCUCUUGGCAAGGCGUUCGGUGUUUUUAAGUCCUCCGAACGGGACUCUUCGUUUUCUCAGUUGUCCUGGGAUUCGCUAGGUGGCGUAGUCGGUGGUUCCGGCGGCGCCUCUUCUUCGUGUAUAACUAUCUUCUCUCUCCACACCUGACUCGGUGCUACGGUCUCCUCAGGAUAGUUGUAUUCAAGCUGUAUGUCUUCAGUCCUUAUCACUUCUCCUUCGUAGUCUGUCCAUCCGUCCUUGAUGAUUUGCCUCCUCUGGUUGCGGUUGCGUUAUCUUCUUCUUGUCUUGACCUGUUUAGAAUCUUCAACUAUAUAGUUAGAAUUAUUAAAGUAGUGGCGUACCUUCUCAGAGGAGAAGUGUAUGUGGAUUUCUCCAUUUCCAAUAUAGAUGAUGACUUUGAUAGUGUUGAGGAACGGUCUUCUAAGGAUGGUGGGUGGAUCAUACUCGUCUUCUCCCAUGUUAAUGACCUGAAGAUUAUCUGGAGUUGAAUGUAUGUUGGUUGUAGGGGCAUGAUUCCAUGCAGGAGCUGAUAAGUGACUGUGGCCAUUAUGUUGACGUCAGAUCCGGUGUUGUAGAGUGUCUUCUAAAAAGAGUAUCCAUUGAUUGUGCACUUGAUGCUUGGAACACCAGGGUCGUCCUUCUUGAUCAGGAAAGGCGACUUGAGUCGACGAUCUUGACCUCUUUGAACUGCAGUGACCAUCUUAGCUGACUCGGUCCACAUUUGCUUGUUCCUGUUCCUCCUGUUGGUCCUCUUUCUUGGUUCGUGUCGGGAUUGCUCUGAAAUUUGUGUAGUCUUGUUCUUGAAGGAAAGUCUCCUUCUUCCCCUUGAUGUAGAAACUGAUCUUGGCAGCAUUAACGUAGAUGACAGCUCUGGUGCUUAGGAAUGGCCUCCCUAAGAUGAUGGGUGCCCUCUCCUCAGUACCAGUCUCUAUCACCAUGAAGUCUGCUAGAGCGUACAAGGUACCAACUCGGACGCAGAGGUUCUUCAAUAUUUUCUUUGGGAAACUGAGUGUCCGAUCUGCAACCUUGGGCAUAAUGUUGACGCUGGAGCCAAAGUUGCAGAGUGCUUCUGGGAAGUCCACCAUGCCGAUGGAGAUCGGGAUGACGGGGCGUCCUAGAUCACCUCUCUUAGUAAUUAGGCCUCUGUUGAUUCCAACCUUGAUGUUGUUGAGGACGGUUGUAGUAAUACUUGUUAUUGUUGUUGAUGUAGUUCACGUCCUCAAGCAUCUCAGGGCAGUGAUUGCCUGAGCGUCCAGUAUCUCCAGUGUGUUUGUGCUCGUAGAUCCUAGUUCUUCACUUGGUGGAAUCUGGGAGUUGUAAAACUCCUUCAUAUUAUGCUCGAAGUGUUCCUGCUCAUAGAGACAAGGUAGAGAUCAAGUGCAUGGGCCCUGUUGGUGGAAAACACCAACAGAACCAAAAGUGUAUUUGUUCUUCUCUAACCUUAAGCAUAGUGAGCAAGACAAAGUUGAUGGAUCAUGAGUGUAGCAUUUGUCAGAUCAGAUGGCUCAACCUAAUGGAAAGAUAAUCUAUCUAUAUUUAUGUUUUGUUUAUAUCUUCCAAAGAUUGCAUGUGCAAUAUUUUAGCUUAUAUGAUUAGGAGUGUGGGGUCACGAAGGUAGUACUAAGAACAAAGAUUAAAGGACUAAACAUGUUGAAUUAAUUGAGUUGGUUAAUUUGGAGUUAUAAAUCAUACAUGUUUGUCUCUUUAUUUAUGUGAAUGCGAGAACCAAGGAGAACUUAUAAAAGUGAUAAUCAAGUACUUUAAGAUAUUAUUGAAGAGUGAUGGUAUAGUAUCACCUUGUGGAAGCUUUCCUUUCUUAGUGGUUGUGCAUCGUGUUUGUGGCACCCUCCAUGAAUCAUCUCUUAUGAGCUACGUCUUUCUUGUGCAAAUUGUUAAACUUCAUGUGUCACUUUCUUCAUCUCCAAUGUGAGUUUAUCUCAGGACUUCCCAGGUUGAUAUUGAAAGUUCUCCUGCAGGGGUUAGUCCCACAAAAUAAACCAAUAUCUACUCAAGCAGUUUUUAGUUCAGUAACCAAACUAGACUCCAUGUCUAAUCAGAUUAAGGAAGGCUAUUUAACCUAAGCACCACGCUUAAUUUAAAUGCCAUUGGAUGUGUGUCCAGUACUUCCAAACUAACACUUACUAGGAUAAACAAAGGUAGCAUGAUGGCUUUUAUAGAGAUCUACUCAAGUGGAGAUGAAGUAGUGUGAUUAGUAUUUAACAAAUUGAGCAUGUCUCAAAGGUAAGGACAACCAACAUAGUAACAUGGCAAAGGAUGUUUUAUGUAAAGUACUCCCCCAAGCUUGAAUUUUGCAAAAUUCAAGAUUGGAUGAAUUUAAUUUAAUGUUGUAUGAUGAUUGGUUGGGCAUACCUUGCGCUCGUCAUUCAUCUGAUCUUCUUGCUCCAAUCCUAGAAAGGUUAGUGGCAAGAAUACCCGAAGGAAUAUUUCUACAAUUAUCAUUAUAUGCUCAAUACACAAGGUAAUGUUGCAAAUAAUUAGAAGUGCUUGUUUUAGGACACUAAGCUUGUCCUUGGGGAACCAUCAAUUAACUCAACGAGAUCUGCAAUAUUUAUUAUAGACAUAUGCAUCGACAACCGCCCUUUUAAAGUUUUUAUAAAUAGAAAAGAAGAGGGGGUUGGAGAUCUCAAAUGUGGUAAGGAUGGAGAGACUAAUUGAUUGGAGAGAUGUUUUAUAUGAACAAGGACUUGAUGAGGUAUUUAUGAAAUUACUUCCAUGCUCACUGUUGUUUCUCUCAUUCUCAAACUCCAAGGAUGAUUCUUCAUGAAUGCUUAAAAUUCCUCUAGGAUUGUCUCUCAAGUUUGUUUUAUCUAUCCAUUCAAUGGUGAUAGCACAUGGAUUUUUAAUGCCUUCUAGCCAUCGAUGUUGCUCUUCUCGAUCCUCCUUCUUAUGCAUGAGAUGUCUAGAUAGAUUCAUAGGAUUAUCGGGAGGUUCAAGAGAAAGAGCAUAGUAGAAACUAUUAAGCUCAAGGAUGGGACGGAUAGCCGAAUUAUGGGAUUGAAAUGUUUGGAAAUUGGCUAUGGAAACUUCCUUUCCUUGUUUGGGAGAUGAUUCCUUCUUUAUUUCUAAGAUUUUUCUAUGAAGACUAGUACAAGAAGGAUGUCCACAAAUGAAGACGUACCUUCCUUUACUAAUAGAUAAAGAAAGAAAGACUCUACCAAAGGUUAUAUGAUUAAGACCAACAUGAAAAUACCGAGAAAAAAUAUGGUCUUGUAGGGUUAGGUCUAAACUAGAAUUUAUAGAAAGAUUAAAAGAUUCCCUAGGUGCAGCUAAAAGUGCAUUAUCUUCUUGAUUAAAAGAUAGGACCUCAGCUAUAGAAAAGGGUUGGUUUUGACCUAUUGCAAUCAACUUCGGACACAGAUCACAAUUAGGGGCUGGACGUGUUGACUCCCAUGGUCAAUGGCUGGUCUCCGAAGGUGCAAAGAAUUCAAUAAUAGGUAUGGAAUUUAAGUUAUCCAUAAAGAUAAAAAGAUAAAAGAAUAAAAGUAUAAUACAAGAUAAUAGCAAGACUCAAAGUUAUCUUAGCAAACCGUCUUUCUCCCCGGCAACGGCGCCAGAAAUGCUUGUUGAUAUUUGGUAACGCAAUUAGAAAAUGAUCCGCAAGCGCACGGAUAUCGGUGAGCAUUUCACCCGGGAGGUUUUCCAGAGUAUCGUAUUUAUAUUUUUACCACUGGAAGAAAGGGUGCAUCUGACUAACCAAAUCUAUUGCUACUAUCCCUUUAGGCUACAAAGAAUGUCUCUCGAUGUGAGUGAUGUAUAGAGAAGACUGCAACCGUAGUCUCGUUCUAACCUUGGUAAGGAUGAUCUACUGUUCUAUUGGGGAGGCUCACGGAAUCUAGACAACACAAAGGAUGUUUGACCCGCACCUAUAAACCUACCCGUCCUGCUAACGAGAUGUGAUCUGCAAAGGUAACUCGGAAAUGUCACGUUCCUCGCUACUACCACGGUCCAGCUAGUCAGGGGAUAUCUAUGAGUACCCUAGCCUAAACACCAUGUUUACGCCAGCAAUAAUUACUCUAAUACUCAACCGGAAGAGGAUUAAAGUAAACUCAUAAACCAAAGAACAAUAAAACAAGAACUUACUAGAAUUAGAAGUCGAAUUACUGAAGAAUCUUAGAAGCAAGCCUCGGGUUAGGAGACUUGAUCCCGCAGGUACAACUCGGAGUAGACACCGACAGGCCGGCCUUCCUCCGAUCCACACCUCCACUCUAUCUCUCUCAAUCUAGUAGAAACUAGAAGAUCUAUUUCUACCUUACAUUGGUUGCUAAGCCUAAAAAGAAAUAUUAUUUAGAGAAGAGGUUUUCCUUCGAGGGCACCCCUCAAUCUCUAUGAUAAUUUCUUGUCUUCUCCAGGGGCCAGGGGGUCUCCUUAUAUAGUCCUCCUCCUCUAUGCGUUUUUGGUUCAGCAGGCGAUGUGGUACUAAACUUUCCACCAUAUCUCAUUAAAAUGCACAUAGGCCAUAAUGGACAAAAAUCUGAUUUGGGCCCAAUUAAUCCCGCAGCUCUUUUAUAUGGAGUCCUUCUUUUAUUAAUAUCUCUUGAUUCCGAACUCCAAAUAUAGCAAAUAAUAUAUGCAUUUCGAUCAGCUCGACGAGAUCUUUGCAAUGGUGUACUCUAUUCUGUGAUUGGUGGAAACACCUGGGCGGGCGCCCAAGGGGAGAGGGCGGGCGCCCUGCCCCCGGGCCCGUUCGGCCUCCCGUUCGUUCUCGUGGCUUCUGGAGUCUUCUAGAUGAUAGAAAAUUGCACGGCACGUUAAUAUCUCUAUGUAAUCCCGACGUGUGGGCCUUUCUUCCAUAUUUUCCUAAUAACCCCCUGCAGAAAUAGACAAACACCAAAACUCGUUGAAUUCUGUCAGAUAAAACCCUAAGUCUAGGUGUUGGUUGUAUUUGGAUCCUUUUCUUUAUUUAUUUGAUGAUUAUAUUUGAUACUUAAGGACCGUCAACACACUAAUGGCAAUAUCAUUGCAUUGUACCUUCUUCUCUUCAACCGGUGUUGGUGCAUUUUCAUUUGCCACCUCACAUUUUGUUUGGGUCACCUUCCAAACUUCUCUAUUGAUUGACUUGAGAUGGGCAGUCAUCUUGACCUUCUAAUAAGUAUAAUUUGUGCCAUCAAAGUAAGGUGCCUUAUUGGUGUUGUUGAUAUACAAACUAAGAGCCAUUUCUUCACCGAAGGUUGUUAAGCCUCAAUUAAACGGUGCCUCAGCUCCAAUACCACUUGAUAGGUCAAAAUGGCUAGAGGAGUGGCGAAUAGCCUAUUUAAAUUUUCUACAAAUUCAACUAGACAAGUUGGUUAGUAAAACAAAUGGUGAAGCUAUUCUAGCAUUAGCACAACUAAGCUAUGCAAGCCACCUACAAAAGUCUAGCAAGAAAGCUAAACACUAAGUUACAACGAGAAAGAACAACUAAAAGCUAGCUAAACUCCUAGACAAGAAAACUAGGCUAAAGAAGCUACUCAACUAGCAAGGUAUGCAAUGAAGUAAAGAGUGGGGGUGAUUGUUAUACCAAUGUUGUAGAGUAGACAUAUAACCAAUCAAUCAAUCACAAUCACAAGAGAAUCCUCGGCACGAGAUGACACAAGAUAUUUUACCGAGGUUCACUUGCUUCCCAGCAAGCUAGUCCUCAUUGUGGCGAUACACCCACUUGAUGGAUCACGAGCUAAUUGGCAAUUCAAAGCCAAACCCUCAACAGGUGCCGCACAUCCACUCACAAGUUGGGGAUCCUCCAAGCCACAAGCAAUCCACUAGAGUAGCCAAUUGUGAUCUCCCACGGGGAAGGCUCAAGAACCCCUCACAAAUCACUUGGUGAGGCUCGAAACAAUCUCCAAUCAUGAGCUCAACACCUCCACUGCUCCAAGUCAUCUAGGGCGUGGAGAAAUACCCAAGAGUAACAAGAAAUCUACAGCAAGCAUAAGAAUCAAGUGCCACUAGAUGCAACUCUCAAUGCAAUACACUUGAAUCUUACUCAAUCUCACUAGGAUUAGCAAUCAAGCAAGGAGAUGAGUGGAGGGAGUGUUCUCUAGCUCAAUGUAUGCCUCAAGUAAUCAAAUGUGCAAGAGAGAGCCCCCAAAGUCGGCCAACUACUAUAUAUACGCCCCCUCAAUAAAAGAGUUGUUGGCUCUUUUGACUAGGCUGAACUCGGGAGCACCGGACGCACAGUAGGGAGCCACCAGACUCUCAAGCCCUGCGUCCGAUGCCCUGAUGACGGUCACAUGUCGUCCUUUUUACUUUUGCGCGUCGGUCUCUAACGGUCACCUGCAGACCACCGGACGCAGUCAAGUGAGCACCGGACGCGUCCGAUACUCACCGGUCACGUAAGCAGAGAGGUCUGCAAAAUGCACUAACACCGGACGCUGAGCACCGAACUCACUCCGGUGCGUCUGGUGCUUUGCUAGAAAACUUCACAGGUUAGCUCGCUGACCCCAACAAGCACCGGACGCUCAAACAACAGAUCCCCUUUGUCCGGUGUAGAGCCUCCGGUGCACUCUGCUUGCUCUGGUCAAACACUGACAGUGCACCGGAUGCUAAGGCCAACGUCAGGUGCCUCCGCACCCUGUGUCUGGUGAGUGUUUCACUCCUACGACUUCCUAAAGACUUCCAUCGGCGCAAUAGAAAAUAUGCCUUUCAUUUUCACAAAAGCGCUGAAUACCGCCUCACAAGCUCUGUGGAAGGGAGAGAGGAACCCAAACCCCUCUCAACCCUAGGAACUCCACCUCCUUUGUAAAAGUGCUAACACCACCAAGUGUCCACCACAAAAGUGCAUGUGUGUUAGCAUUUCACAAAUGUUUUCAUCAAAGGAGUUAGGAUAGCACUUUACUAGAUCCUAAUGCAUAUGCUCAAGAUGUGGACCUAGUAGCACUUGAUUCGAGAGAUGACCGUGAUUUACCCCCUUGAUAGUCGGCUAUCUAUCCUAAAUCCAAUCAAUCACUUCUCUACUCAACUUAGAACGGCAAAAGCAAAGCCCUAUGUUUAUAUCUUUGCCUUGAUCACUUUACUCCUAGUCUAUCACCAUGAUUUCCACUUCAUGCUUCAUCUCUUUGUAAUCAUGUGGCCACUGAAAGCCCUAGUUUGGUUUUGGAUAAUUGAUGAAACCUAUUUGUACUAACCUUUGUCAUGAGUGAAAUACAAAGAUAGGUUGGUACAACCAAGUGAUGGAGCUAGAUGAUGGUCAUGGUGAUGGAGGUAACCAAAGGAAAAUAUCAAGUGCUCCAACUUUGAAAAGAAGAAAGAGAAAAAUAAAAUGGUCUCAAGGCAAAGGUAUUUUUAAUAGGCCAUUUUGUUUUGCCACUCAAGACACCAAGUGGGUGUGUGUUGAUUUAGGAUAGAUAACCGUACUAUAAAGAGGGGAAAUAUUUAAUUGUAAAGGGUUAUCUAGUGUCACUAAGUAUGAGUCUCAUUUGCAUUUACCUCGCACUUAGUGACAUGGAGAGCUGCAUGAGAAAGCAUAUAAAAAUAUUUGUGAAAAGCUAAUUUAAAUGUCCAAUUUAUUUUGGAAUAUUUUGGUGAAGUUAGCUACUUGAAGAAGAGGUGCACAAAUUGGUCAUCCCUUUAUUUCCUAGACAGAGUCACCUUCCUGGCAUUUCUCAUUUCUGAACAAGAAAUUCUCAUAUCUAUUUUGUCUAGACAGAGACCCCAUGUCAGCAAUUCUCAUUUCUGAUCGAGAAUUUCUCAUAGUUAUGUUGUCUAACCAAAUACCCAUCUCGGCAUUUCUCUCUUGUGAAUGAGAAAUUCUUAUAAGGCUUCCUGUGUCGUCAAUUGUCGUUUAUGUAUGAGAAUUUCUCAUACAGCUUAGAUCCACUGCUGACCGCGUGGCAGGGAGCCCGCUCGCCUGCUCUCUAUUAGGCAGCUUCCGAGAAGUUUCGUCCUGUGACCGUUUGGGAGAAGAAAGGAAAGUGGACCGUUGCCUGGGGAUGGUGUUGGCUUGGCCAGCUGGUUAAAUCCAACGCCUCCCCCUUUCCUUUCCCCUCUCUCCGAACCAGAACAGAAGCACGCUAUGCUUCUCUCUCGCUUUAGUGAAACAAAGAACAGAGAAAAAAGAUCACUCCCCUCUCCUCUCUCACUCCCAAGGAUUUGUGCUCCAUUCAAGUGAGAGAGCAAGCUCUAGAGAUCGAUUUGAGAGCUCCAAAAGGAUCUCCUCCCUCUCCUGUCCAUUCUUAUGGUUGGUUCUCUUUGGUGAGAGGAGUUGAGGAAACCCUAGUGUUCAUGCAUCUGUGAUUCAUAUUUGUGGCACUAGGUUGUGAUUGCAAUCGUUGAUUUCUUAUUACUCUUGGUGAUUGUCGUCACCUAGAUGGUUGGUGUUGGAUUGAUUGGUGAGGGGACUUGGUGAUUGUAUCCGCCCCCAAUCAAGGUGCAUUUGUGAGGGGUUAUUGUGGUUCCCCAGCGGAGUGCUAAAUUCCAAAUCUAGUGGAUUGCUCAUGCCAUUGAGCUACCUCACUUGUGGUAGGUCCUUGCGGUGCUCGUGGUGAGCUUGGGUGUGGAAUCCCAAUUAACCGCCAGACCACCAAGUGUUGGUCGACACAACAGGGACUAGCAUGCCAGCAAGCACGUGAACCUCGAGAGAAAAAUAUUGGUAUCAAUAUUGUGAUUGGUAUUCUCCCGGUGAUUAUAUUGAUAUACAUUGUGAUUUGUUCAUCCUCUACACAUCAGUAUAAUUAUCUCUUACCUCUUUACUUUCUUGCAAAUUAGUUGUAACUAGUAGAUCCUAGUUUUAGCUAGUUGUAACUAGUUGUAAAGAGUAGUGACAUAGCCAUUACUUGUGCCUAGAGAUCAUAGCAACUGGAAUUUUUGGAUAGGUGGCUUGCAACCCUUGUAGAGCUAGAGCAAAAUUGCUUUACGCCUUUUGUUAUAUUAAUCCUUUGCUCUAGUGCCUUGUAGAAUUGUUAAAUAGGCUAUUCACCCCCCUCUAGCCAUAUUAGGACGUUUCAAGUGCUAUCGAGCUGUGAUCACCAUUUAGUGAAGGCUUAACAACCUCGGUGUGUAAAUUAUGGCUCAUGUUGUGUUCAACCAUGUUGGGGGCAAACCACCAAUGUUUGAUUGCACCACAUCUUUUGAUCAAUGGAAGAGAAAGAUGAAGAUUCACCUUGGUAUCAUUCAUACCAAAGUGUGGAAUGUGAUCGAAACUGACUUUGUUAUCCUUGAUUCCGACAAUCUCACCGACAAGGAUGAAAUCAACCAACAAUGCAAUAAUGCCGCUCUCAAUGCCAUAUAUCAAGGGAUUGAUUCAAAAGUGUUCGAACAAAUCAAAGAUCUUGAGAAAGCAAGUGAAGUGUGGCAAAGAUUGAUUGAGAUAUAUGAGGGUAACCAAAAUGUCAAGAGUGCCAAGUUGUACAUGCUCAAGGACAAGCUAUUCAACUUCAAGAUGGAAAAAGAUGAGUCCAUUCCAGAGAUGUUCUAUAGACUCCAAGUGAUUAUCAAUGAUCUUAAGAACCUUGGAGAGAAAGUGAAGGAUGAGGACUUCUCACAUAAAUUCCUCAAGUGCUUGCCAAACAGAUUCUCUACUUUGAGAAGAAUGAUCUUUAGAGAAGGAUUGAGCAAGGUGACUCCAAAUGAAGUGCUUGGUGACAUAAUGACCGAUGCUCAAUACAAUGAUGAUCUUAGUGAAGGAGAAGAGGACAAGAGGGAAAAGAAAGACAAGAAAGAAAAGAGUAUGGCAUUCAAGGCUUCAUCCUCCUCUAAGGGCAAGAGCAAGAAAGAAGAGCUAAGUGAGGAAGAGAUUGAUAGUGAUGAUGAGGCAAUGGCUCUUCUAGUCCACAAGAUGGGCAAGUUCAUGAAGAAGAAGGGCCAUGGUGCAAGAAAGAGAAUAGACUUCACCAAAGGCAAUGGCAAUGGGAGGCUUUGCUUCAAAUGCAAGAGCCCCGAUCAUGUGGUGGCAAAUUGUCCACAUCUUGAUGAUGAUGAUGACAACAACAAGAAGAAGGACAAGAAUGAGAGGAAGGAUAAGAAGUCCAAGAAAAUGAGCUUCAAGAAGAAUAAGAAGGGUGGUGGCUAUAUUGUCAUGUGGGAUAGUGAUGCCGAUGAUGAUGAAGAUAGUGAUGAUGAGAAGGAGUUGGAGGCCAUGAAGAAGGCUUUUGGUGGUGUUGCUAUUUCCAACAAACCAUCUUUAUUUGAUGAUGCUACAUCAACAUGCCUCAUGGCUAAGGCCACCAAGGUAACAUAUAAUGAUGAUGCAUGUGAUGAUGAUGAUUCUUGUAGUGAUGAUGAUGAGGACCCUUCCAAGGAGGAGCUCAUGGACAUAUGUGAGCAACUAAAUGAAGGCUUCCAAAAGAAGAGAAAAGAGUGUAAGGGCUUACUCAAGAAAGUCCAAGAUCUUGAGAAGUCCCUUAGGGAGCUCCAAGCAUCUCAUGAGUGUCUAAAGGAAUACCAUGAGGAACUUGAGAAUGCUCACACCAAGCUUGCAAAAGCUCACUCUAUUCUUCUUGAUCAAGCAAAGGUGGAGGACGUGAAGGAGACUAGAAGCAUUGUACUAACAUGUGAUAUUAUGGAUGAAUCUUUUUAUAAAUCUAUUAUUAUAUCACAAACGAACCCUUCUUGUAGCUCUUCAUCCACCACAACCGACUCAAGCUCAUGUAUGAGUGAUGGUUUCACUUGUGAUGCAUCACUUAUGAUUGAGAAUGAGACUCUCAAGAGGGAGGUGGAUGAGCUCACUCAAGCUCUGGGCAAGGCCUAUGGCGGUGAGGCCCGCUUUCUUAAGUGCUUGGGUAGCCAAUGCUUUUCUCUCAACAAAGAGGGAAUAGGCUACACCCCCAAGAAAGGCAAGACGGCCUUCGCAACUCACAAGCCUAGCUUUGUGAAGAGCACCGGUCGUUAUUGCAAUAGAUGCAAGCAAGUUGGGCACCUAGACCUUAAUUGCAAUAAAAUGAACAAGAACAAGAAAAAUGCUAAUGUAUCUUACAUUCCUUUUGAUUCUUGUUAUGUGCUUACCAAGGGUGAGAAGUGUGUGCAUGCUAAGUUUGUUGGUACACCAAUUGUGGGUCCAAAUAAGAAGGCCAUUUGGGUGCCAAAAAGCUUAGUCACUAACCUCCAAGGACCCAAACAAGUAUGGGUACCUAAGAAACAUUGAUUUGUUUUGUAGGUAAAUGGCAAAGCCAGAGGAAGGCAUUGGAUUCUUGAUAGUAGGUGCACUCAACACAUGACCGGUGAAUAAAAAAUAUUCCAAGAAAUCAAGCCAAAUGAUGGUGAUGUGAGGAGUAUCACAUUUGGUGACAAUAGAAGAGGUGAUGUGAUUGGUCUUGGCAAGAUUGCAAUUUCAAAUGAUAUGUUCAUUUCUAAUGUGAUGCUAGUGGAGAGUUUGAACUUCAACUUGCUAUCAAUUGCUCAAUUGUGUGAUCUUGGCUACAAGUGUAUAUUUGGUAUUGAUGAUGUUGAGGUGGUUAGUGUUGAUGGAUCAAAUGUUGCUUUCAAGGUGUUCAGCUAUGGGAAUCUCUAUCUUGUUGAUUUCAACACAAGUGAAGCUCAACUGUCAACAUGCUUGCUCUCCAAAUCAAGCAUGGGUUGGCUAUGGCAUAGAAGGCUUGGUCAUGUUGGAAUGAAGCAACUCAACAAGUUAGUGAAACAUGAUCUAGUUCGAGGCUUGAAGGAUGUCACAUUUAAAAAGGACAAGCUUUGUAGUGCAUGUCAAGCCGUAAAGAAAGUUAGCAACACUCAUCCAAAGAAGAGCAUCAUGAGUACUUGUAAGCCAUUUGAGUUGUUGCAUAUGGAAUUAUUUGGGCCAACAACAUACACUAGCAUUGGAGGCAACAAAUAUGGAUUUAUGAUUGUGGAUGAUUUCACUAGUUACACUUGGGUGGCAUUUCUUAGUGACAAGAGUGAUGUAUAUGACAUCUUCAAGCUAUUCAUUAAAAGAAUGCAAAAUGAGUAUGAAACCACCAUUAAGAAAGUGAGAAGUGACAAUGGAAAUGAAUUCAAAAACACAAGAGUUGAUGAGCUAUGUGAUGAGUUAGGAAUCAAGCAUCAAUUCUCAGCAAAGUAUACACCACAAUCCAAUGGGCUAGUUGAAAGGAAAAAUAGAACUUUGAUUGAUAUUAUCAAUGCUAAGUGAGUACAAUAUGAGUCACUCAUUUUGGGCCAAAGCAAUCAACACGGCAUGCUUCUAUACCAAUAGACUCUAUUGUCAUCCAUUCCUAUAGAAGACACCUUAUGAGAUAUUGAAUGGAAGAAAGCCCAAUAUAUCAUACUUUCGAGUAUUUGGAUGCAAAUGCUACAUAUUGAGAAAAGGCACUAGAUUGAGCAAGUUUGACAAGAAAGUUGAUGAAGGCUUCUUGUUUGGUUACUCCACUUCAAGUAAAGCAUAUGGAGUAUAGAAUUUGGGAAGUGGUCAACUUGAGGAAGUAGAUGAUGUUGAAUUUGAUGAAACUCAAGGCUCUCAAGAUGAAGAAGAGAACUUGGAUGAUGUGAGAGGCACACAAUUGGCUGAUGCAAUGAAGAGAAUGGAAAUUGGUGAUAUUAGGCCAAGAGAGGUAAUUGAUGUUGAAGAUGACAAAGAUCAAGUGCUUCCUUCCUCUAAUGUGCAAGCUAGUGGGUCUCGUGACCAAAUUAGAGCUAGUUCAUCAUCUCAAGUGCAAGAUCAACAUCAUGAAGCUAGUACACCAUCUAAAUCAAGUAAUCAACCAAGUGCAAGCAAUCAAGUGCAAAUACUCCAACCAAUAAAUAUUGCAAGAGAUCAUCCAUUGGAUUAUAUCAUUGGUGAUAUAUCAAGAGGUGUGCAAACUAGAUCAAGAUUGACAUCAUUUUGUGAACAUUUCUCAUUUGUAUUAUCCAUUGAACCAAACAAGAUAGAAGAAGCAUUGAGAGAAGUUGAUUGGGUAAAUGCUAUGCAUGAAGAACUAAACAAUUUUACUAGAAAUCAAGUAUGGGAGUUAGUAGAGAGGCCUAAGGAUCAUAAUGUGAUUGGAACCAAAUGGGUCUUUCAAAACAAGCAAGAUCAAGAUGGGAUAGUAAUAAGGAACAAAGCAAGAUUGGUAGCACAAGGUUACACACAAAUUGAAGGUCUUGACUUUGGUGAAACAUAUGCCCCAGUUGCUAUAUUGGAAGCAAUUAGGAUCUUGUUAGCCUAUGCUUGUGCCCACAACAUCAAGUUAUAUCAAAUGGAUGUGUAGAGUGCAUUCUUGAAUGGGUACAUAAAUGAGUUGGUUUAUGUUGAGCAACCUCCUGGUUUUGAAAAUUACAAGUACCCCAACCAUGUUUACAAGUUGAAGAAAGCUUUGUAUGGUUUGAAACAAGCACCUAGAGCAUGGUAUGAGAGGUUAAGGGAUUUCUUACUCUCUAAAGGGUUUAUUAUGGGUAAGGUUGACACCACUCUCUUCACUAAAAAGGUAGGCAAGGACUUAUUUGUGUUGCAAAUCUAUGUUGAUGACAUUAUAUUUGGUUCAACCAAUCAAGAAUUUUGUGAAGAGUUUGGAAAGAUGAUGGCAAAAUAAUUUGAGAUGUAAAUGAUUGGAGAGCUUAGUUACUUCCUUGGUCUUCAAAUCAAGCAAAUGAAGAAUGGCACAUUUGUAAGUCAAGGCAAGUACAUCAAAGACAUGCUCAAGAAGUUCGGCAUGGAUGAUGCAAAGUCAAUUAGCACACCUAUGGGGACUAAUGGAAACAUAGAUAGUGAUGCUAGUGGCAACAUGGCGGAUCAAAAGUUGUAUCGGUCUAUGAUUGGAAGCCUACUAUAUGUGACUGCAUCAAGGCCGGAUGUGAUGUUUAGUGUAUGCAUGUGUGCUAGAUUUCAAGCCUCACCAAGAGAAAGUCAUUUGAAGGCAACAAAAAGAAUAUUGAGGUACUUAAAGCAUACACAAAAUGUUGGAUUAUGGUAUCCCAAAGGAGCAAAUUUUGAGUUGAUUGGUUAUUCUGACUCUAACUACGCGGGAUGCAAAAUUGAGAGAAAGAGCACAUCAGGCACAUGUCAAUUAUUGGGAAGAUCACUUGUGUCUUGGUCAUCAAAGAAGCAAAAUAGUGUAACACUUUCAACCGCUGAAGCGGAGUAUAUUUCAGCUGGUAGUUGUUGUGCUCAAUUACUUUGGAUGAAGGCUACUGUUGACGGUCCUUAAGUAUCAAAUUUAAUUAUCAAAUAAACAAAGAAAAGGAUCCAAAUGAAAUCAACAUCUAGACUUAGGGUUUUAUCUGACAGAAUUCCACGAGUUUCGGUGUUUGUCUAUUUCUGCAGGGGAUUAUCAGGAAAUAUGGAAGAAAGGCCCACACGUCGGGAUUACAUAGAGAUAUUAAUGUGCCGCACAAUUUUCUAUCAUCUAGAAGACUCCAGAAGCCACGGGGAUGAACGAGAAGGCAAACGGGCCCAGGGGCAGGGCGCCCGCCCACCCCCCUUGGGCGCCCGCCCAGGUGUUUCCACCAAUCACAGAACAGAGUACACCAUUACAAAGAUCUCGUCGAGCUGAUCGAAAUGCAUAUAUUACUUGCUAUAUUUGGAGUUCGGAAUCAAGAGAUAUUAAUAAAAGAAGGACUCCACAUAAAAAAGCUGCGGGAUUAAUUGGGCCCAAAACAGAUUUUGGUCCAUUAAGGCCCCUGUGCAUUUUAAUGAGAUAUGGUGGAAAGUUUAGUACCACAUCGCCUGCUGACCCAAAAAUGCAUAGAGGAGGACUAUAUAAGCAGACCCCCUGGCCCGUGGAGAAGACAAGAAAUUAUCAUAGAGAUUGAGGGGUGCCCUCGAAGGAAAACCUCUUCUCUAAAUAAUAUUUCUUUUUAGGCUUAGCAACCAAUGUAAAGUAGAAAUAGAUCUUCUAGUUUCUACUAGAUUGAGAGAGAUAGAGUGGAGGUGUGGAUCGGAGGAAGGCCGGCCUGUCGGUGUCUACUCCGAGUUGUACCUACGGGAUCAAGUCUCCUAACCCGAGGCUUGCUUCUAAGAUUCUUCACUAAUUCGACUUCUAAUACUAGUAAGUUCUUGUUUUAUUGUUCUUUGGUUUAUGAGUUUACUUUAAUCCUCUUCCGGUUGAGUAUUACAGUAAUCACUUGCUAGCGUAAACGUGGUGUUUAGGCUAGGGUACUCAUAGAUAUCCCUUGACUAGCUGGACCGUGGUAGUAGCGAGGAACGUGACAUUUCUGAGUUACCUUUGUAGAUCACAUCUCGUUAGCAGGACGGGUAGGUUUAUAGGUGCGGGUCGAACAUCCUCUGUGUUGUCUAGAUUCCGUGAGCCUCCCCAAUAGAAUAGUAGAUCAUCCUUACCAAGGUUAGAACGAGACUACGGUUGCAGUCUUCUCUAUACAUCACUCACAUCGAGAAACAUUCUUUGUAGCCUAAAGGGGUAGUAGCAAUAGAUUUGGUUAGUCAGAUGCACCCUUUCUCCCAGUGGUAAAAAUAUAAAUACGAUAACUCUAGAUAACCUCCCGGGUGAAAUGCUCACCGAUAUCCGUGCGCUUGCGGAUCAUUUUCUAAUUGCGUUACCAAAUAUCAACAGCUACUUUGAAUGAUUUUGGAAUCAAGUUCAAACAAGUGCCAUUGCUAUGUGACAAUGAGAGUGCAGUGAAGCUCACCAACAACCUAGUUCAACAUUCAAGAACAAAGCAUAUAGAUGUCCGACAUCAUUUCAUAAGAGAUCAUCAACAAAAAGGGGACAUUUGUAUUGAGAGUGUGGGCACCAAAGAUCAACUUGCCGAUAUAUUCACCAAGCCACUUGAUGAGAAGAGGUUUUGGAAGCUAAGGAAUGAAUUUAACAUACUUGACUUCUCAAAUAUGUGUUGAUGCUUCCCCAUAAUAUGACAUGCCUCACCUUCGAGCAAAGCAAGGUACAAUUGUUUGACAUAUCAUCCAUCCUUUGCUAAGGACUUGUUUAGUGCAUCUAUUCAUUCCUCACAUGUCCUAGGCUCAUUUAUGAAAAUAAAAUGAAUUUGAUGCUUGUAUGGUACCACUAUUGCUUCUUUGUUUGAAAUGAUCUAGUGGUAGCUGUUGGGUAUUCUUAACAUCAUUACCAAAAGUAGACUAAGUUCUCUAAAUCUAGUAACGGUGCCAAAAAUGCCAAACCUAUCCCUCACACCACUUAAGCCAAGUUGUCAUCCCCAGCAUGACAUGAGAGACGUGAUAUUGAAAUAUGCAAUUGCUCUUCUAAAUAAAUAAUGAAUGGGAUCUGCAAGCGCACAGAUUAAUACCGAUGUAGCAUUUUAACCGGAAAGUAUUCUAGGUAUCGUUAUUUAUAUUUUUACCACUGGGAAGGGAUUAGCAAUCAUCAAUAUUGAUUACAGAAUAGAAUAUGAGAUUGAGCAUCUAUCAUUGCAUGUAUAAUUGAGAACAUUUAUCUAACUCUUCAUACAGGGAUAAGUGUCACAUAAAAGAUAUAUGAAAUAAUAAUAGUGACAAGGAUAACUAAUCUGAUCUAGCCACAUAAUAAAUAUGAUAAGCACCUCAAUUAGAUACUCUAGAAAGUCAUUAGCAUGGUAUUAGAACGAACUACAAGAAUAUUCCCUAAGUUAUUCUCAACUAUAUAGUCUAGCAUUAUCAUAAUUAGUGCAAGCAUACUUAGCAAUCAUUGCAAGACAAGACUACACCCAUGCAUAGUGAUAUUAGCAAGGAAUAUGAGAAACAUAGCAAUCACUCCCCUAUAAUAAUGUUGCUCUGUCAGCCCAAUACACGAGAGGGGGACUAUAUAAGAAUCAAUGAAGCUAUCACUAUCACGAACCACCCCACGAUCUGGCAUAUUGGGUACAAUCGCAGAUAAAUACGGUAUAAGCACCACGCCUACACAAUAUCUAUCAUUUACCCAUGGAUCCGAUGGAUAAACGCUAUACGAUCCUAAGCAUGUAUAUAGAUCCAAUCUAACUAAGCUAAGUACAUAACUAUGAUAAACUAAGAACAAUAUAAUCUUGAAUAUAAGCAAGUAGAGCAAAGUCAUAAGCAAUAUAUUGAAAUAGAACAAAGUCAUAUUCAAAAUAUUGAAGAACAAAGAUAAUUAGAAAGUAAUUAGAAGCACAAUUAGAGAAUUACCAAGAAUCCUCUUGACAGAUCCGGAAACCAAUCGAAGAUUGACUCCUUCUAGUUCUAAUCCUAUGUAGCUAUGCUAAUCUAGAUGUCUAAUUGAUGUGGUGGCUCUAAUCUUGAUCAGAGGCUUCUUCUCCCUUGAAGAACAAUGAAUUAGGGUUGAGAGGCUCUCUCCUCCAGGGGCCAGGGGGUCUAGUUUUAUAGUCCCUCCAAGUGAAUAUGGGCCAUUGGAUCAAACCGACAUAGAUUGUAUGGUUUAGAUUCAUCCUUUAGGUCGUUGGAGAUCUCCCACGAAGCAGAGUCCUGAUUGGACUCCCAGAGGGGGCGGGCGCCCAGGGCAGGAGGGCGGGCGCCCUGCCUCUGGCCCUGUUUCGCCUCCGCUUCGGUCUCGUGGCUUCCGGAGUCUUCUAGAUGUAAGAUAAUUGCAUGGUACGUUAAUAUCUCUAUGUAAUCCCGACGUGUGGGCCUUUCUUCCGUAUUUCCUGAUAACCCCCUGCAGAAAUAGACAAACACCAAAACUCGUGGAAUUCUGUCAGAUAAAACCCUAAGUCUAGAUGUUGAUUUCAUUUGGAUCCUUUUCUUUAUUUAUUUGAUAAUUAAAUUUGAUACUUAAGCACCGUCAACAAACUCCCCCAAGCAUACCUCUUGCUCGUCCCUGAGCAAGGAUAGACUCAGCUAUGGAUCAUAAGUUGUUGCAAUGUUUUUAAAAAUUGACGGUACACAUGCUUUUUUAAAUAAGAUCUUAUCUCUGAGUUAGAGUAAACUGUCAAGACUUAAAACUUACUUACUUUACCUUCACCAUGGGACUUGUAACCGUCACUUCUGUCUUGAGUAGUUAAAAGAUAGAACAGUCUAGUCAAGUGCCAUGUCUCUUAUUCUUGAUCAGCUAUAGCUCUGGGGUUUUUGCAGAUUUUCAAAUAAAACUCAGAGAUUCCUUGUAUGAUUCUCUCAGAUCUCUCUUUUGUGGUAUUUCUGGAUCCUUACCAAGGCAGUGAUGGUAUAUGCCUUCUCUCAAGAUAUGUGGUAUUUGUAGUGUAAAGCAUAGUGACAUUGCCUUCUCUCUCACCCUACUCUAAUAAGGCUUUAAUAUCUGGAGCUCAUAGGUGGGAGAUAAAAUAUACAUACUUACAAGACAUUUAUUGCAUAGUCAAACCAUGGAUCCAAAGAAACAAAUCAAUAAGCCAAAUCAAGAUGUGCAUGUGUGGCAAAUGAAUGGUGUAUGGUGAUGAUGGUGAAAACAAUGGUGGUGGAAGUCUAAUUCUACUUUUGCUCUUUUGAGGGGAUACAUACCUUCCUUGCUUUUUGAAACUUUAUGAGGAGAAUGAGAUGCUCUUCUUUUUCAUUUCUCUCAGGUGGGUAUCUUGUACCCCUAAUUCUACUGUCGGACACUUGUCCAUUUUUACCUCUCGUCUCACUCUUUCUUUUCUUUCGAGGUUCUGAGCACUUGCUCCUUUUUAUUUACUCGUAUUUAUUUAUUUUUUUUCUCUUCUCUUUUUUUAGAGCACUCAUCUCUUGAGAUAAUAUAGCAAGUGGUAGUAACAAGAUAACUUGAGCAUUUAUUUCACAAGGGAAAAACAGAGAUAUUUUUGGUUAUUCUCUCUCGGAUUAGGAGUAGAAUAUUUUUGGGUGAUUCUGGAGAUGGAAAUGGAUGGAUAUAUGUGGAUGGUACUUCCGGAGUAGAAGUAGCAUAUAUGAGUGAACGUGCAAGUGAAUCUUGAUUUAACCACAUGACAAGCUCCUAAGGGUCUACACAGCUUGACUACACUCAAUGCUCAUAAGCAGUAAAAAGUAAAUGUAUAGCUCAAAGUCUAGCAAGCAUGUAUAUAUGGCUGUGGUAGGAAUUUAAACUCUCAUCAUAUAGGAACUCAUCAUGCAACAUUUUAAAGUUUUUCAAAGAUAAAAUUCUCCAGAAUUCUAGCAUCUCUAGGAACAGAUAAACAGCAGCUCAACCUUCCCAUAUUGUAUCCGUUAACAACUUAGACUUCAAAUCAAGUUUUCAUCCCACAAGUUUAGGUCUAGAGCAAGCUUUAAAUUAUAACAGUUAUAUCUAAACUUGAGAGAACUUCAAAUGUGCAAAUUAGGCAGAGCAACUAUUCAUCAUAUCCAUGCUUGAGUUUUAUUUAGAUACAGAUUAGCAUAGCCACUUUAUUUAUUUAUUAAACACACUAAGCAAAAGAUAUAUAUAUAAGCAUAAAAUCUUUAUUUGAUUUUCCAUAGUUAUGUAUAUUUAUAUUCUAAAAUAAUAUAAGUAUAAAGAUAGAUAGAUAGAAAUACUUAUCGAGAUAAAUGGGGGUGCUCUCCCACAAGCUGAAUUUUGACGUAAUUUCUCUUGAUGUAGCUAACAGGUGCCAGAGGUGUAUUUGAAAGUCAGCAGCAUUCUGACAGCGAUUAGAAUGUCCUCCGUCUGAUAGUCUUCUUGAUUCUUAAAUCAUGUGGAGCUCAAAUAGACAACAAAGCUUGUGGAACUGAUUAAGUGUUAGCAUAAAUAUCUAGCCUUUAUCAUGUUGAGACUCCUUAAUAAUUAUUACUCCCUGUUUUUAUAUUUUCAUUUUAUAAAGCAGAAAUAUAUUUAUUUUAUUUUUAUGCCACCACAGUGAAUGUACUUAUGGGUUUUAUGUCACUCGUAUACUCACAUGGGGCUUACUGUGUUUUCAUAUUUUUUUAUUUUCUUUUUAGGAUACCAGGAACAUGAUUAACUAAGUAAACUAUUUGAAAUAAUUGAAAGAGAAAGGAUAACUACCAAGUUUACCUCUUGGCAAGGCGUUCGGUGUUUUUAAGUCCUCCGAACGGGACUCUCCAUUUUCUCAAUUGUCCUGAGGUUCGUUGGGUGGCGUAGUCGGUACUUCUGGCAACGCCUCCUCUUCAUGUAUAGUUAUCUUCAUUUUCCACACCUGACUUGGUGUUUCCGUCUCCUCUGGAUAAUUCUGUUUAAACUCUACGUCUUCUGACCUUACAACUUCUCCUUCGUAGUCUGCCCAUCCGUCCUUGAUGAUCUGCCUCCUUUGGCUGCGGUUGCGUCGCUUUCUUACCUGCUUAGAUUCUUCAAUGAUAUAGUUAGGGUCAGUAAAAUAACGGCGUACCUUCUCUGAGGGGAAGUGCAUAUGGACUUCUCCGGUUCCAAUGUAGAUAAUUGCUUUAACGGUGCUGAGGAACGGUCUUCCAAGGAUGAUGGCUGGAUCAUACUCGUCUUCUCCUAUGUCAAUAACUUGAAAGUCUGUGUAGACCAAAUGAUCGUCUAUUUUGACUGGGACAUCAGUUACUAUUCCUUUGACUUCUCGAAAUGUCUGAUCUGCCAUCUGGAGUUGAAUGUAUGUUGGUCUUAGUGGCAUGGUUCCGAACAAGAGCCGAUAGGUGACUGCGGCCAUUAUGUUGACGCCCGAUCCGGUGUCGCAAAUCGUCUUGUAGAAGUUGCAUCCAUUUAUGGAGCAGUAGAUGCUUGGCAUUCCUGGGUCGUCCUUCUUGGUCAAAAACGGUGACUUAAGUUGUUGAUCUUGGCCUCCAUGAACUGCAGUGACCAUCUUAGCUGACUCGGUCCACACUUGCUUGUUCCUGUAUCUCCUGUUGGUCCUCUUCCUUGAUUCACGUCUGGAUUGAUUUGGAAUUUGUGUAGUCUUGUUCUUGAAGAAAAAUGUCUCCUUCCUCCCUUUGACGUAGAAACUGAUCUUGGCAGCACUAGCGUAGAUGAUAGCUCCCGUGGUGUUUAAGAAUGGCCUCCCUAAGAUGAUAGGUGCUCUCUCAUCAUUUCCGGUCUCUACCACUACGAAGUCUGCUAGAGCAUAUAAGGUACCAACUCGGACGCAAAGGUUCUUCAAUAUUCCCUUUGGAAAAGUUAUCGUCUGAUCUGCAAACUGCAAACACAUGGUUGUCUCUAAUAAAGGAUACGUAAAGAAUUUUUCAUAGAGUACCCUGGGUAUAAUGUUGACGCUAGAGCCAAAGUCGCAGAGUGCUUCUGGAACGUCCACCAUGCCAAUGGAGAUCGGGAUGACGGGGCGUCCUGGAUCGCCUCUCUUGACCGGCAGAAGGUCAGUAGAGAAUUCAGUGACGGGGUUACUCCAAUUAUUACCUCCAUCAAACAUGUCUACAAGAUUUGCAGAUUCUAAUCCUUCCGGUUGUGAUGGUAUACCGGGGUUAGUUGUAGGAACAGUAGCAACUAUUUGAUUUAACUGAGAUUCAAUCAUUUUAUUAAAGCUAAUUUGAUUCUUGAUGGCAGUAGAGAAAUUAUCCAUUCUAUUAUUUAUAUUUUCUAGCAUUUUAUCAUUAGAUGCUAAUGUCUUAGAUAGGUUAUCCAUUAGCUUUCCUUGAUUAGACACUAACUCUCUCAAAGGUGGAAAAUUAUUAUUAUUGUUGUAAGAAUUGUUACCUUGAUAAUUACCUGAGUAGUUAGGCCUCUGUUGAUUCCAACCUUGAUUUUGUUGAGGACGGUUGUAGUAGUAGUAGUUGUUGUUGUUGAUGUAGUUCACAUCCUCAAGUAUCUCAGGGCAGUGAUUGCCUGAGUGUCCAGUGUCUCCAC